rnacentral:rRNA from 1 species
UAGGGAAUCUUCGGCAAUGGGGGGAACCCUGACCGAGCAACGCCGCGUGAGUGAAGAAGGUUUUCGGAUCGUAAAGCUCUGUUGUUAAGGAAGAACGAGUGUGAGAAUGGAAAGUUCAUACUGUGACGGUACUUAACCAGAAAGGGACGGCUAACUACGUGCCAGCAGCCGCGGUAAUACGUAGGUCCCGAGCGUUGUCCGGAUUUAUUGGGCGUAAAGCGAGCGCAGGCGGUUAGAUAAGACUGAAGUUAAAGGCAGUGGCUCAACCAUUGUAGGCUUUGGAAACUGUUUAACUUGAGUGCAGAAGGGGAGAGUGGAAUUCCAUGUGUAGCGGUGAAAUGCGUAGAUAUAUGGAGGAACACCGGUGGCGAAAGCGGCUCUCUGGUCUGUAACUGACGCUGAGGCUCGAAAGCGUGGGGAGCGAACAGG